rnacentral:rRNA from 1 species
AUUGAACGCUGGCGGCAUGCCUUACACAUGCAAGUCGAACGGCAGCACGGGUGCUUGCACCUGGUGGCGAGUGGCGAACGGGUGAGUAACACAUCGGAACAUGUCCUGUAGUGGGGGAUAGCCCGGCGAAAGCCGGAUUAAUACCGCAUACGAUCUACGGAUGAAAGCGGGGGACCUUCGGGCCUCGCGCUAUAGGGUUGGCCGAUGGCUGAUUAGCUAGUUGGUGGGGUAAAGGCCUACCAAGGCGACGAUCAGUAGCUGGUCUGAGAGGACGACCAGCCACACUGGGACUGAGACACGGCCCAGACUCCUACGGGAGGCAGCAGUGGGGAAUUUUGGACAAAGGGCGAAAGCCUGAUCCAGCAAUGCCGCGUGUGUGAAGAAGGCCUUCGGGUUGUAAAGCACUUUUGUCCGGAAAGAAAUCCUUGGCCCUAAUACGGUCGGGGGAUGACGGUACCGGAAGAAUAAGCACCGGCUAACUACGUG